GGAAAACAACAUUCCGACGAGGAUAUCUUCUCUGUCUUUAAGGAGUGUUUCAAUGAUCCACAUGAGACCACUCAGAAGCUCCUCUAUUUAGAUACAUUUCAUGAGGUGAGAAGCAAAAGGGAGAGAAAGAAAGAGAAUUUAGUACUAAAUACACAAGGAAGGAGCAGGACUGCACGGAGGAACUUUGGUUCAAGUUAUACAGAUACCAGCAAUGGAAGAAGUGCAGCUUUUAAAAAGCAGAGUGGAGCUAAU